UACGUAGGGUGCAAGCGUUAAUCGGAAUUACUGGGCGUAAAGAGCGUGUAGGCGGCCGCACAGGUCCGUUGUGAAAACUGGAGGCUUAACCUUCAGACGUCGAUGGAAACCGUGCGGCUAGAGUCCGGAAGAGGAGAAUGGAAUUCCUGGUGUAGCGGUGAAAUGCGCAGAUAUCAGGAAGAACACCCGUGGCUAAGGCGGUUCUCUAGUACGGUACUGACGCUGAGACGCGAAAGCGUGGGGAGCGAACAGG
rnacentral:rRNA from 1 species